UCGGCCUCAAAGAGCGGAACAAAUCCCACGGGGGCGUUGAUUGAAACCAUUACGGAUUCGGGGAGACAACACGCCGGCUGGGAACGGAGUCUGCCGCUGCUGCCUAUUUCCAUAAGGGAUUACCAUGUAAUUGAGAGGGGAAGACCGCUAAUGGCAGAAGCAAAGGCCAGCUCAGCCCCCACAGUCUUGGCUCCGUGGCAGAGCUGAGAUGCUGAAGCAGAAUCGUUCCUGAGAGACUCUGGAAGGAAAAGUUAACCGGCACAAAGCCCAGAGAGUGGACCCAAGGAGAAGUGGCAGAGAAUUCGUUUGGGAUCCGCCACCUGCCUGAGGGGACUGCAGUUUCUAGCACCUGGACGUCAUCUGGCUCCCCAGGGCGGGAAAGAAGCAGCUGAGAUUGGAAGUGAGGCUGGGGGCAGAAGGGAGCCUGGGGCAGCACGACCACCAGGAGUCAUGGUGGCAGCAAACAUCCACGCCUGUCCGCGGUGCU